GACGAACGCUGGCGGCGUGCUUAACACAUGCAAGUCGAACGAAGUGGCGAACGGGUGAGUAAUACGUGGGUAACCUGCCCUCCUUUUUGGGAUAAGCCUUGGAAACGGGGUCUAAUACCGAAUAAAGGGGGAUGGGCUCGCGGCCUAUCAGCUUGUUGGUGGGGUGAUGGCCUACCAAGGCGGUGACGGGUAGCCGGCCUGAGAGGGUGACCGGCGACAUUGGGACUGUGAUAGGGCCCAGACUCGUACGGAAGGCAGCAGUGGGGCUCAUUGGCAGCUGCGCGAGAGCAUAAGGGAGAGACGGUGCGUGGGGGGCUCAGGCUUCGGUGUUGUUAGCCUCUUACUCUAUCGAACGGGUAGGUUGGGAAGAAGCCCCGGCUCCCUACGUGCCAGCCGCCGCGGUAAUUC
rnacentral:rRNA from 1 species